CCGGUUGAUCCUGCCGGACCUGACUGCUAUUGGAGUAGGACUAAGUCACGCUAGUCAAAGGUGCGGAAUGGAGCACCUGGCGUACGGCUCAGUAACACGUAGUCAACCUGCCCUAAGGACGAGGACAACCACGGGAAACUGUGGAUAAUCUUCGAUAGGAAAUUUGGCCUGGAACGGUAUCUUUCCUAAAUCCGCUUCGCCGUGAAGUACGGGCCUUAGGAUGGGGCUGCGGCCGAUUAUGCUAGAUGGCGGUGUAAAGGACCACCAUGGCGACGAUCGGUAUGGGCAAUGGAAGUUGGAGCCCAGAGUCGCUCACUGAGACAAGGGAGCGAGCCUUACGAGGCUUAGCGGUCGCGAAAACUCGCCAAUGCACGAAAGUGUGAGUGGGCUACUCCAAGUGUCUUUCUUACGGAAGACUGUCGCCCAGUAUUACAAGCUGGGAAAGGAAGGAGAGGGCAAGGCUGGUGCCAGCCGCCGCGGUAAAACCAGCUCUUCGAGUGGUCAGGACGAAUAUUGGGUCUAAAGCGCUCGUAGCCGGACAUGUGGGUUCUUGGUUAAAUCCGACAGCAUAGCUGUCGAUCUGCUGGGAAUACCGCAAGUCUUGGGAGCGGGAGAGGAUAGAGGUAGUCGUAGGGCAGGGGUGAAAUCCAGUGAUCCUACGGCGACCACCGAUGGCGAAGGCAUCUAUCUGGAACGUCUCCGACGGUGUGGGGCGAAAGCUAGGGGAGCGACCCGGAUUAGAUACCCGGUUAGUCCUAGCCGUAAACGAUGCCGACUAGGUGUUACUACGGCCAAGAGCCGUUGUAGUGCCACAGCGAAGGCGUUAAGUCGGCCACCUGGGGAGUACGGUCGCAAGACUGAAACUUAAAGGAAUUGACGGGGGCGCACCACCAGGAGUGAAGCCUGCGGUUUAAUUGGAUUCAACGCCGGGAAU
rnacentral:rRNA from 1 species